GGGGAUAUAGCUUAGUGGUGUAAGCACCUGCCUGGCAAGUGUGAGGUCCUGAGUUCGAUUCCCAGUAAGCCCC
rnacentral:tRNA from 1 species